CCUACGGGUGGCAGCAGUGAGGAAUAUUGGUCAAUGGGCGCGAGCCUGAACCAGCCAAGUAGCGUGAAGGAUGACUGCCCUACGGGUUGUAAACUUCUUUUAUAAAGGCAUAAAGUGAGGCACGUGUGCCUUUUUGUAUGUACUUUAUGAAUAAGGAUCGGCUAACUCCGUGCCAGCUGCCGCGGUAAUACGGGGGAUCCGAGCGUUAUCCGGAUUUAUUGGGGUUAAAGGGAGCGUAGAUGGGUUGUUAAGGCAGAUGUGAAAGUUUGCGGCUCAACCGUAAAAUUGCAAUUGAUACUGGCGGCCUUGAGUGCAGUUGAGGUAGGCGGAAUUCGUGGUGUAGCGGUGAAAUGCUUAGAUAUCACGAAGAACACCGGUUGCGAAGGCAGCUUACUAAGCUGCCACUGACAUUGAUGCUCGAAAGUGUGGGUAUCAAACAGGAUUAGAUACCCCAGUAGUC
rnacentral:rRNA from 1 species